GACGAACGCUGGCGGCGUGCUUAACACAUGCAAGUCGAACGGAAAGGCCCUGCUUUUGUGGGGUGCUCGAGUGGCGAACGGGUGAGUAACACGUGAGUAACCUGCCCUUGACUUUGGGAUAACUUCAGGAAACUGGGGCUAAUACCGGAUAUGAGCUCCUGCUGCAUGGUGGGGGUUGGAAAGUUUCGGCGGUUGGGGAUGGACUCGCGGCUUAUCAGCUUGUUGGUGGGGUAGUGGCUUACCAAGGCUUUGACGGGUAGCCGGCCUGAGAGGGUUACCGGGCACAUUGGGACUGAGAGACGGCCCAGACGCCUACGGGAGGCAGAAGUGGGGAAUAUUGCACAAUGGGCGGAAGCCUGAUGCAGCAACGCCGCGUGCGGGAUGACGGCCUUCGGGUUGUAAACCGCUUUCGCCUGUGACGAAGCGUGAGUGACGGUAAUGGGUAAAGAAGCACCGGCUAACUACGUG
rnacentral:rRNA from 1 species